rnacentral:rRNA from 1 species
GACGACGCUGGCGGCGUGGAUUAGGCAUGCAAGUCGAACGGUAGGAUACCUUCGGGUAUCUGAGAGUGGCGAACGGGUUGAGUAACACGUAGGUGAUCUACCCUCAAGAUUGGGACAACCCAGGGAAACUUGGGCUAAUACCGGAUGAAAGCAGCAGUGAUGUUGUUUGAAAGGUGGCGUAAGCUGCCGUUUGGGGAUGAGCCUGCGCUCUAUUAGUUAGUUGGCGGGGUAAAGGCCCACCAAGGCGAUGAUAGAUAGGCGGCCUUAACGGGUGGUCGCCCACACUGGGAUUGAGAUACGGCCCAGACUCCUACGGGAGGCAGCAGUCGAGAAUAGUCUACAAUGGCCGAAAGGCUGAUAGUGCGACGCCGCGUGAACGAAGAAGCCCUUCGGGGUGUAAAGUUCUUUUAUAUGUGAGCAGUGCUUUCUAUGUGAACAGCAUGGGGAGAGAGAUAUUAGCAUAUGAAUAAGCAACGGCUAACUCCGUG